rnacentral:rRNA from 1 species
GGUAAUGAUGGCAGAGAGGUCACACCCGUUCCCAUACCGAACACGGAAGUUAAGCUCUUUAGCGCCGAUGGUAGUUGGGACCUUGUCCCUGUGAGAGUAGGACGUUGCC